ensembl:lncRNA
CUGGGGUAAGCAAAGGUGCAGACAAAACAGGGGUUUGGGCAGAAGGCUGCAGGAUUGUGUAACUGCUACAGCAUUCUGGAAUGAAGGCAAGAACCUCAGAGACUUGCCAAACUUGGUUCUGCUCGGAAGAAAUUUUCCCCUGAGGGCUUAGAGAAGUCUCCCUCUCUCUGAAACAGCUUCUUCAAAGGUGGGCAAAAAGACACCAACACCCAUCCUAUAUCAGCCAACAUCCCAGUGACUGGUCCAUCGACACCAAGGACUUCAAAUUAUACCGAGUUCUGUGUAAAAUUAACACAACUCACACAGCCCCUUAAGCGUGAUCGAAACAGGAGUUUGUUUUGUGUACAGAGCAGAGAAGACUCUUAUUAAAAGCUGACGGAAGCGUUUGGAAUGAGGAGUUUAUUUUGACUGGUGAGCUGCAUCGACACACCCUCCUUCUUUGAAAAAUCUUCAGCUUCGAGGGUCUGGGUGUAGAAGAGCGAGUGCAGCCGAGCCCUCAAGGAAAACACUGAACAGGACAGAGAAGAAGCUUUUUCUCCCUGACACUGUCUUCUCUUUAGACACCUUCUGUUCCACCACUGACCCAUUCAUAUUUAGACUGAGUACAUGAAAACAGCUUUACCUCCAGAGUUGUGAAAUGAUAUAAAUUCUCACUCAAAAACAACAAAUAUAUAAGGAUAUUUUUUUAAUGUCUAAAGUUUAUUAAGAGGGACUUCCCGACACCGUACUUCCAAGGCAAGGGGCCCAGGUUCUAUCCCUGUUCGGGUAACUAGACCCCAAAGAUUCUGCAUUCCACAACAAAGGUCGAAGAUCCUGUGUGCUGCAAAUA